AAUAUUUUCUCUCAGCAGAACAUACAGGAACCACUAGAGAAACCUAGUGAAGUUGUCAUAACAGAAACACCUACUGUUUCUUCUGUAUGGGAAAAUUGUCUCCCUUCUGUACAGAAAACUAUACAGAAAUCAAAAGAACGUCUGAAACGCAGGAGAGCCUUCAAAGCCAAAGUUGAAGCUGCAAUUGAG